rnacentral:rRNA from 1 species
GUCUGUAGCCUGAACUUGCCUGAUCUCAGAAGCUAAACAAGGUUGGACCUGGUUAGUACUUGGAUGGGAGACGACUGGGAAUACCAGGUGCCACAGUGG